rnacentral:tRNA from 1 species
ACCGAAAUAGUAGCUCACUUGGGAGAGCGUUAGAUUAUAGAUCAAAAAGUUUCUGGUUUGAUCCCGGUCCGGCA